UCUCCCUGUUAAGAGUUCGGUGACGGCGGCAAGUUUAAAGCCGUUGUACAGAAGCCGUCGACCCUAGCAAAAGAUGGCGGAAAAGGCUUCGGUAGUGAAGCGGGUGAAAAGGGCUUCGGGAGUGAAGCGGGUGAAAAAAUGAUCUUCAACCUUCAUUACUCUCUUGGGGACAGCACGAAGAUUUACAGGAUUUCAUGGUGAUCUCCCAUCUAGCUACAUACUGGAUCUGACCCUAUUUAGCAUUUUCAAGACCAGGUUGACCAGAUGCUGCCAUCUGCUGUAAAAGUAUUGUCCUACAAAGAGCCAGGAUAAACAAUGGAAACAGACGUAAUGAUGCAGGAGCCAUAAGACCUGGUUGCUGAAUGGUUAGGACAGAUGAGCGGUAUGCAGAAAGAGAAUCUAUUACAGCAUUCACCAAUGCAUCUCGAGCAUCACUCAAACUAGCAGAAAUUGACCGAU